rnacentral:rRNA from 1 species
UAAGCCAUUUUUUCUUUAAGUAAAAUAUGGGAUGCAGUGUAUGGAACAUCAAUAAUCUAGUAUGAAAAAUUAACGAUUUAAGUCCUUCUUAAAUGAGGCCAUUUACCCAUAGAGGGUGCCAGGCCCGUAUAACGUUAAUGAUUAUUAGAUGAUGUUUCCAAAGAGUCGUGUUGCUUGAUAGUGCAGCACUAAGUGGGUGGUAAACUCCAUCUAAAACUAAAUAUAACCAUGAGACCGAUAGUAAACAAGUACCGUGAGGGAAAGUUGAAAAGAACUCUGAAUAGAGAGUUAAAUAGUACGUGAAACUGCUUAGAGGUUAAACCCGAUGAACCUGAAUAUCCAUUAUGGAAAAUUCAAUACUAAUAGAAUAGUGUGCAAUUUUUCCAUAUAAGGACAUUGUAAUCUGUUAAUGUCAUAAAUAUUUAUCAAAAGAUUCUUUACUUAAGUUUAUUCAAAUUCAACAUAAAAUAAAUGUAUUGAAUUGGAUAAAUCAUUGACAGAUAUAAUUAUAUAAUAUGCUUAAAUUCUCUUGAAUUUUGCAAUAUUGCCUGCAUUAUUAUGAUUAACAAUGCAAUAGAUUCAGGAUACCUUCGGGACCCG